rnacentral:tRNA from 1 species
AAGGCAGCUGCCUGCUAAGCAGUUGUGGGGCUAAUAACUCCACCGUGGGUUCGAAUCCCACCCUCUCCGCCA